UAUGGUAGGGGCUGGUCUGCAAUUGCUCUUACUGUAGCAAUUGUGGCAAUCAUGUGUGGGAAAGAAAUUGUUACUUAGUUAACACUGCUUUCUUAGCAAAAUAGAAAGUGAUCAUGUAAUUUUGUCAGGCAGGA